AGUGGCGGACGGGUGAGUAACGCGUAAGAAUCUAACUUCAGGACGGGGACAACAGUGGGAAACGACUGCUAAUACCCGAUGUGCCGCGAGGUGAAACCUAAUUGGCCUGAAGAAGAGCUUGCGUCUGAUUAGCUAGUUGGUGGGGUGAGAGCCUACCAAGGCGACGAUCAGUAGCUGGUCUGAGAGGAUGAGCAGCCACACUGGGACUGAGACACGGCCCAGACUCCUACGGGAGGCAGCAGUGGGGAAUUUUCCGCAAUGGGCGAAAGCCUGACGGAGCAACGCCGCGUGAGGGAGGAAGGUCUUUGGAUUGUAAACCUCUUUUCUCAAGGAAGAAGUUCUGACGGUACUUGAGGAAUCAGCCUCGGCUAACUCCGUGCCAGCAGCCGCGGUAAUACGGGGGAGGCAAGCGUUAUCCGGAAUUAUUGGGCGUAAAGCGUCCGCAGGUGGUCAGCCAAGUCUGCCGUCAAAUCAGGUUGCUUAACGACCUAAAGGCGGUGGAAACUGGCAGACUAGAGAGCAGUAGGGGUAGCAGGAAUUCCCAGUGUAGCGGUGAAAUGCGUAGAGAUUGGGAAGAACAUCGGUGGCGAAAGCGUGCUACUGGGCUGUAUCUGACACUCAGGGACGAAAGCUAGGGGAGCGAAAGGGAUUAGAUACCCCUGUAGUCCUAGCCGUAAACGAUGGAUACUAGGCGUGGCUU
rnacentral:rRNA from 1 species